GACGAACGCUGGCGGCGUGCUUAACACAUGCAAGUCGAACGGUAAGGCCCUUCGGGGUACACGAGUGGCGAACGGGUGAGUAACACGUGGGUGAUCUGCCCUGCACUUCGGGAUAAGCCUGGGAAACUGGGUCUAAUACCGGAUAGGACCACUGCCUGCAUGGGUGGUGGUGGAAAGCUUUUGCGGUGUGGGAUGGGCCCGCGGCCUAUCAGCUUGUUGGUGGGGUGAUGGCCUACCAAGGCGACGACGGGUAGCCGGCCUGAGAGGGUGACCGGCCGCACUGGGACUGAGAUACGGCCCAGACUCCUACGGGAGGCAGCAGUGGGGAUAUUGCACAAUGGGCGCAAGCCUGAUGCAGCGACGCCGCGUGAGGGAUGACGGCCUUCGGGUUGUAAACCUCUUUCAGCACCGACGAAGCGCAAGUGACGGUAGGUGCAGAAGAAGGACCGGCCAACUACGUGCCAGCCGCCGCCGUAA
rnacentral:rRNA from 1 species